GAUCCUGGCUUAGGAUGAACGCUAGCGGCAGGCUAACACAUGCAAGUCGAGGGGCAUCGGGAGUAGCAAUACUGCCGGCGACCGGCGCAAGGGUGCGUAACGCGUGAGCAACAUGCCCGUAUCAGGGGGAUAAUCCAUGGAAACGUGGUCUAAUACCCCAUAGUAAUUAUGUAAGGCAUCUUAUAUAAUUUAAAGCUUUGGUGGAUACGGAUUGGCUCGCGUGACAUUAGCUAGAUGGUAAGGUAACGGCUUACCAUGGCUACGAUGGAUAGGGGUUCUGAGAGGAAGGUCCCCCACAUUGGAACUGAGACACGGUCCAAACUCCUACGGGAGGCAGCAGUGAGGAAUAUUGGUCAAUGGACGAGAGUCUGAACCAGCCAAAAGUAGCGUGAAGGAUGACUGCCCUAUGGGUUGUAAACUUCUUUUAUAAGGGAAUAAAGUGAGGGACGUGUCCCUUUUUGUAUGUACCUUAUGAAUAAGGAUCGGCUAACUCCGUGCCAGCCGCCGC
rnacentral:rRNA from 1 species